UUUGAGUGGUUGGAUGUGGGAGUUUGCUGGCCUCUUAAAAAAGGUCUUGGCUCUCCUGAAAUACAUUAGCAGAACAACCCUGUUCAUUGGUGUGAUAACUAUCUACGCUAUUGUGAAGGGAAGUUCAGCUUUCUAACUGUCUUUGGACAAUUCAUCAUUAAUGUGACCUCAAAUCAGGUAGGACUACCCGCUGAACUUAA
rnacentral:misc_RNA from 1 species